rnacentral:sRNA from 2 species
AGCAGUACAAUUUGAGUUAGAUACCACAGCGUUCGAUGUAUGUCUCUGGUCAGAUGUCAAAGGCAGCCUACGAGUCCGUGAAACGGUGCGGUCUAUUCACGGUCACUACUCGUCUGUCUGGAGGGCACCAUUUAGCGUAGACGGGGGCUGAAGGCAUAGGACCAGUUUUUUUUUUUCCUUUUCAACUUUAUCCGACAAAAAAGAAAGAAAAAGGCAAAAGAAUCUUCAUGUCUGAGUUGUUUGUUAGUUAGAAGACUUCAUGGCAAUGAGAAAAAUGGACAUCUUCAGCAUUCUGCUUCAAAUCUGAAAAUCCAAACUUUGUCUUUGUUAGGUUACUGGGGC